rnacentral:rRNA from 1 species
UACGUAGGGGGCAAGCGUUGUCCGGAUUUAUUGGGCGUAAAGAGCGUGUAGGCGGCCUGAAAGGUCAGCUGUGAAAACUCGAGGCUCAACCUCGAGACGUCGGUUGAAACCAUCUGGCUAGAGUCCGGAAGAGGAGUGUGGAAUUCCCGGUGUAGCGGUGAAAUGCGCAGAUAUCGGGAAGAACACCCGUGGCGAAGGCGGCUCUCUGGGACGGUACUGACGCUGAGGCGCGAAAGCGUGGGGAGCGAACAGG